rnacentral:rRNA from 1 species
CCUACGGGUGGCUGCAGUGGGGAAUAUUGGACAAUGGGCGAAAGCCUGAUCCAGCAAUGCCGCGUGAGUGAUGAAGGCCCUAGGGUUGUAAAGCUCUUUUACCCGGGAUGAUAAUGACAGUACCGGGAGAAUAAGCUCCGGCUAACUCCGUGCCAGCAGCCGCGGUAAUACGGAGGGAGCUAGCGUUGUUCGGAAUUACUGGGCGUAAAGCGCGCGUAGGCGGUCCAUCAAGUCAGAGGUGAAAGCCCGGGGCUCAACCCCGGAACUGCCUUUGAAACUGGCGGACUAGAAUCUUGGAGAGGUCAGUGGAAUUCCGAGUGUAGAGGUGAAAUUCGUAGAUAUUCGGAAGAACACCAGUGGCGAAGGCGACUGACUGGACAAGUAUUGACGCUGAGGUGCGAAAGCGUGGGGAGCAAACAGGCUUAGAUACCCCAGUAGUC